rnacentral:rRNA from 1 species
AGCAGCCGCGGUAAUUCCAGCUCCAAUAGCGUAUAUUAAAGUUGUUGCAGUUAAAAAGCUCGUAGUUGAAUUUCGGGAUCAGUACGCUGGUCGUGCCUUCGGUAUGCACUGGUGUCACUGAUUCCUCCCUUCUGAAGAACCGUAAUGCCAUUCAGUUGGUGUUGCGGGGAAUCAGGACUGUUACUUUGAAAAAAUUAGAGUGUUUAAAGCAGGCUCGCGCUUGAAUACAUUAGCAUGGAAUAAUGAAAUAGGACGUUUGACCCUAUUUUGUUGGUUUCUAGGAUCGACGUAAUGAUUAAUAGGGAUAGUUGGGGGCAUUAGUAUUCAAUUGUCAGAGGUGAAAUUCUUGGAUUUAUUGAAGACUAACUACUGCGAAAGCAUUUGCCAAGGAUGUUUUCAUUAAUCAAGAACGAAAGUUAGGGGAUUGAAGACGAUCAGAUACCGUCGUAGUCUUAACCAUAAACUAUGCCGACUAGGGAUCGGAUGAUGUUAAUUUUUUAAUGACUC